AGUUGGCCGGUCAAAUUACAGGUACUACAACCAUUUUCUGAAUUGAUGAGGUUGAGAGCUCUGUUUCUGUUCCUACGGAUGGACAAUGGCCCAAACACCCUCUGAUAUGGUCUAGCAUCUAUCCCAUUUUCACACCAAACUAUGAGGAAAGAGCAUUAGGGAAGGCCACUGAAGCCCUUCCUUUGCCAGCAUUCUCAAACUGGGCAUGGCAAAUGCAAAGCCAUAGCGUGGUGUUGAAGUCGAUUGUGGUUGAUAUCUUCAUAGAGUUUUAAUUCAUAUAAUGAACUAUGUUGAAUUAUUUUGAUCCUAUUUUGAGUUUUAACGCAUAUAAUAAACUAUGUUGAAGUGAAUUUGGAUACUUUGUGUUUUAAUUUUUGUAAAAUUUUAUUUUUUAUAUAUUUUUUGUGGUUUGGGAGUAGAGUGCCUUUGGU